UACGUAGGGUGCAAGCGUUAAUCGGAAUUACUGGGCGUAAAGCGUGCGCAGGCGGUUCUAUAAGACAGAUGUGAAAUCCCCGGGCUCAACCUGGGAACUGCAUUUGUGACUGUAGAGCUGGAGUACGGCAGAGGGGGAUGGAAUUCCGCGUGUAGCAGUGAAAUGCGUAGAUAUGCGGAGGAACACCGAUGGCGGAGGCAAUCCCCUGGGCCUGUACUGACGCUCAUGCACGAAAGCGUGGGGAGCAAACAGG
rnacentral:rRNA from 1 species